rnacentral:tRNA from 1 species
GGAAGUUUAGCUCAGUUGGUCAGAGUAACCGGCUCAUAACCGGUCGGUCCUGGGUUCGAACCCCAGAGCUUCCA